GACAGAAAGAAAGAAAGAAAGAAAGAAAGAGAACACCAACUCUGUUUCAUCUUUUGUGCCAAACCCAUCCUUCCUUCUUUCUUUGUGUGUGCAUGUCCUUCCCAAUAAA
rnacentral:ribozyme from 11 species